rnacentral:rRNA from 1 species
CGGGACGGGUGAGUAAUGUCUGGGAAACUGCCUGAUGGAGGGGGAUAACUACUGGAAACGGUAGCUAAUACCGCAUAACGUCGCAAGACCAAGAGGGGGACCUUAGGGCCUCUUGCCAUCGGAUGUGCCCAGAUGGGAUUAGCUAGUAGGUGGGGUAACGGCUCACCUAGGCGACGAUCCCUAGCUGGUCUGAGAGGAUGACCAGCCACACUGGAACUGAGACACGGUCCAG